rnacentral:rRNA from 1 species
AUGGCAGAAGAUGCUCAACAAUUCUUCAACAACAGAGAUGCUCUGCUCCAACAUCUCAAGACAAACUUGUCUGCUGCUCAAGCCCGCAUGAAGAAAUACGCUGAUCGCAAGCGUACUGAAAGAGUUUUGGAAGUUGGUGACAUGGUGUGCCUUAAAAUGCAGCCCUACCGGCUCAAUGCAUUUGGGUUGCGUACACACAUCAAACUGCAAAGCAAGUACUAUGGGCCGUUUCGCAUCAUAGCAAAGGUGGGGCGCAUGGCUUACAAACUGCUUCUACCUGACAGCACCAGCAUUCAUCCAGUCUUCCAUGUUAGCCAGCUCAAAAAGCAUGUCGGACCGAAGGCAGUGCCCUGUUCUGAUUUGCCGCUGGUACGAGAAGAUGGUAUGAUUCAGACCGAGCCAGUGUGGGUCUUGGAAACACGUCAGGUUCCACGCAACAAUUUGCCGGUGGUUCAAUGGCUAGUUCAAUGGGAAAACUUGCCACCUGACGAAGCUUCUUGGGAAGACGUGACAUUCAUGAGGAAAACAUUUCCUACAUUCUUCAAGGCGACCAUCGACCGUUGGUUCAAUCGCUCAUCUCCUAGAGGACAAGUUCGUUUUUGGUGGGAGGCAUUGUCAGGCCAGCAUAUUCAGUUACAAGUGUCCAGCACAUUCAGUUAA